AAAUAUUCCAAAAUGCAAGAAACUCCAAAAUCUGAAAUACUUCUGGUCCCAACCAUUUUGGACAAGAGCUUUUCAACCUGUAAUGCAAAUGCCAUUACAAUUAACCUGUAGCACCUUAUCUUCGAUUGCCUCCUGCAGAAAAGCCCAAUACAAAAAUCUCCAACCUUCUGUCAUUAUAUCAUUAGUAAGACUCAAUGGCUUCUGAAGUUACUUUAGAAGAUCCUUCACCCUGUUGCUAAUUGUGUUCUGUCCCUUAAAAUGGAAAUGCCUAACAACCAUAGACCCAGUUGAACCAUACUCCUAGGGUAGCAGUGAUGACCAUGACAACAAAUGGCUGGGGGCAGUUAUGGAAGAAAGAAAAGAAAGCAGAGCUACAGCUGGGUCAGUCUUCUUGGAAGAGCCUGGGUCUGCCUCUCAUGCACAACAGGCAGAGAAAACUCCUGGGCAGGUCAAGCUGAACUGGCUGUCUGUGGAGGGGAUCAUGCCCCAAGCACACAGCAGGUAGCGGGGCCAGGACUGACCACCAGAAAGAGGUUUCUCAGGGUCUGCCCCAUGCAAAGGAAGAUGAAAAUACUUGAGAUGCAUUUUUUGCCAUCAAGAUCCAACAAUGCCUAGAAGCAUCCUGUGCAGAAAGCAUUUAUCUCAUACUUGUUGACUGAUUAGCACAAGAAGUUGAUGAUUCUCCUCAGCCUUGUGGGAAAAGCUAAGAGAAGAUUCAUGCCGGAACAGCAGAACAGUUUCAGGUGAGUCCUUUUCACUUGGUGGGCGGCCAGCCACCUGGCUGUUGCUCCCCAGCACAGCUGCUUCCUUCCUGAUCCCACCACGGUCUGAUUCCUUCAUCAGCAUUGCUCCUUGCC
rnacentral:lncRNA from 1 species